UACAGGGGGUGCAAACGUUGCUCGGAAUUAUUGGGCGUAAAGCGCGCGUAGGCGGUCUCUUAAGUCGGAUGUGAAAGCCCUUGGCUCAACCGAGGAAGUGCACCCGAAACUGAGAGGCUUGAGUACGAAAGAGGGUCGCGGAAUUCCCGGUGUAGAGGUGAAAUUCGUAGAUAUCGGGAGGAACACCGGUGGCGAAGGCGGCGACCUGGGUCGAUACUGACGCUGAGGCGCGAAAGCGUGGGGAGCGAACGGG
rnacentral:rRNA from 1 species